rnacentral:rRNA from 1 species
GACGAACGCUGGCGGCGUGCCUAAUACAUGCAAGUAGAACGCUGAAGGAGGAGCUUGCUUCUCUGGAUGAGUUGCGAACGGGUGAGUAACGCGUAGGUAACCUGCCUGGUAGCGGGGGAUAACUAUUGGAAACGAUAGCUAAUACCGCAUAAUAGUAGAUGUUGCAUGACAUUUGCCUAAAAGGUGCAGUUGCAUCACUACCAGAUGGACCUGCGUUGUAUUAGCUAGUUGGUGGGGUAACGGCUCACCAAGGCGACGAUACAUAGCCGACCUGAGAGGGUGAUCGGCCACACUGGGACUGAGACACGGCCCAGACUCCUACGGGAGGCAGCAGUAGGGAAUCUUCGGCAAUGGACGGAAGUCUGACCGAGCAACGCCGCGUGAGUGAAGAAGGUUUUCGGAUCGUAAAGCUCUGUUGUAAGAGAAGAACGAGUGUGAGAGUGGAAAGUUCACACUGUGACGGUAUCUUACCAGAAAGGGACGGCUAACUACGU